rnacentral:rRNA from 1 species
UACGUAGGGUGCGAGCGUUAAUCGGAAUUACUGGGCGUAAAGCGUGCGCAGGCGGUUCGCCAAGUCAGGUGUGAAAUCCCCGGGCUUAACCUGGGAAUUGCGCUUGAAACUAGCGGGCUUGAGUGUGGCAGAGGGGGGGUGGAAUUCCACGUGUAGCAGUGAAAUGCGUAGAGAUGUGGAGGAACACCGAUGGCGAAGGCAGCCCCCCUGGGGUCAACACUGACGCUCAUGCCACGAAAGCGUGGGGGAGCAAACAGG